CAGGGUAAUGUGAAUAUAAAUGAAAAUAAGGACAUAACAAAUGAUGCAGUUAGUAAUGGAACUGGAACCGGAUCAGCACCAGUCGGAGCAGCUCAAAUUUUACCAAACCCAAAUUCAUCAAAAUCAAAAGAAAUGUUACCCUAUUCAAAUAUGAAACACAUUAGAUUAAAUAAAAUGAAUAAUAUGCAUAUUCAACAAUCAUCACAUAUAACAUCGUGUAAUAAUCAAUACGAGGAUAAAAUUAGUAUGAAUCAUAAUGUUAUGGGGGCUAUAAAAAAUGUAUUACAAAGUGAUCAUAUGCCAUGUUUAUCACAUGUAGCAGCUCAUACUAAUGCUGAUAUAAAAAAUGUUAAUAAUAACAACAACAAUACAACAUCUGUUACUUCUACUUUGAAUACAAAUAAUAAUAAUAAUAAUAAUAGUAGUAGUAGUAGUAGUAGUAAUAUAUCUAGUGGUAACAAUAAUAAAUUUACAAACUCUAAUUGGUCAGGACCUAUGAAUCACAAUUUACAUGGCUAUAAACAUACUGUAGGAGGAGAUAUAUACAAUUCUCAAAUAACCCAAUCGAAUUGUCAUAUGUAUAAUAGUACUAGUGGCAACUUUAACGGAAUGAAUAAUCAUCAUAGUGGUUGUAGUAGUCAUGUAGGAAGUAAUCAUAACAUCGAGAGUAGUAGUGGUAGUAACAAAAGUGGGCACAGUAGUAAUGUGAAUAGCAAUAAUAGCAGUAAUAAUAACAACAGUGGUGGUAAUAACAGUGGUGGUAAUAACAGUAGUGGUAAUAAUAGUGGAGGUAAUAACAGUGGAGGUAAUGGUAGUAGUAACAAUAGUGGAGGUAAUAAUAACAACAAUAAUAACAACAAUAACAAUAAUAAUAACAAUAACAAUAAUAAUAACAAUAACAAUAACAAUAAUAAUAAUAAUAAACAUCAUCAAUUAAUGUAUACUGACACGUUAAUGUACAGACCCACUUUGUUCAACCUGUUAGAAGUCCUAGCUAAUCAGAAU
rnacentral:lncRNA from 1 species